GAUGAAGAACGCAGCGAAAUGCGAUAAGUAAUGUGAAUUGCAGAAUUCAGUGAAUCAUCGAAUCUUUGAACGCACCUUGCGCCCUUUGGCCAUUCCGAAGGGCAUGCCUGUUUGAGUAUCAUGAACACCUCAACUCUUCAUGGUUUUCCAUGAUGAGCUUGGACUUUGGGGGUCUUGCUGGCCUGUGGGUCGGCUCCUCUCAAAUGAAUCAGCUUGCCGGUUUUUGGUGGGCAUCACAGGUGUGAUAACUAUCGACGCUUGUGGUUUUCCACCAGGGUAACCUUCAGCAGUGGAGGUUCACUGGAGCUUACAAAUGUCUCUCCUCUGUGAGGACAGCCCUUUGAAUGUUUGAUCUCAGAUCAGGUAGGACUACCCGCUGAACUUAAGCAUAUCAAUAAGCGGAGGA
rnacentral:misc_RNA from 1 species